GACGAACCGUGCGAACGUUGUUCGGAUUCACUGGGCUUAAAGGGCGCGUAGGCGGUGUCCCACGUCCGGGGUGAAAGCUUUCGGCUUAACCGGAAAAGGGCCUUGGAUACGGGGACACUCGAGGGAGGUAGGGGCAGGUGGAACUUCCGGUGGAGCGGUGAAAUGCGUUGAUAUCGGAAGGAACGCCGGUGGCGAAAGCGACCUGCUGGACCUCUGCUGACGCUGAGGCGCGAAAGCCAGGGGAGCAAACGGG
rnacentral:rRNA from 1 species